CAGCAAAAUAGGAGCUGACCUUUACCAACCAUUUCCUAAGCAGCAGGCCAAGCGCCAUACAAACUGCCUUAUUGAAGACCCUGGCUCUACUGGAAAACGAAUUCUUUUAGUUGCAUUCACCUCUUGCAAAGUCCUUGGAGGAUGCAGGAAGCUGAACUUCAGGGGAGGCACCAAGAGCGACUACCUAGACCCUCUCUCUCAUAGUUCCAAGGCUGCCCUGCUGUCUCCAUGGUGGGAGUCACCAUCGCUAAGCCCCGUGCACACAGCCUGGAGAGAGAGGUCCGCAGACCCUGACCAAGGUAGGCAGGAGACAGCGGACACACUCUGUCACUUCCUGCGCCUGAGGGGGCCUGAUGGCCUUGGGGCAGAUGGCCUCACAGUGUCCAGCUGAUGGCCUGGUCAGCACACCCCCCUGCAUGGGCUCUCCUGGCUUCCCGCCUCUCCCCUCGUGCUUUGCUCUUCCUUCCCAAGCUGUGGCUUAUUAGGUAUAAAUGCACAUCAUCCACAUUAGGGGAAAAAAUACAGAUGGCUCCAGGCUGGAGAAAGAACAUGGAUUUUGUUCUGUGAUGCGUAGGAAGGUCACACUCCCAGCUGGGCAGAAGAUAGAGGUAAAAAGCAAAGGCUCAAGACAGAGGGUCUGGAUGGUGGCUAUGGCACUAGUCUGGGUGGAGCCAGGGCUGAUCGGGCAAACUUGGGGUACUUGUCUGGUAUUUGGGGGUUGGCUGCCUUUUUCUGGAAGAAACAGUGAGAGAGGGAAAGAAAUGAAGCCUGCAGCUGCGAAGCUCAUCUACCCCCGGCCCAUCUGUUCCUGAGGUCAGAUUGCACCUGGGGAGUUUCCCUCAUCCUGUCAAACUCCACCAACACCUGCAUGGAAAUCCUAUGCUCUGUCAGAUACCGGGGUUUUAGGGAUGCCUCUUGGAUGGGGGCCCUGAAAUCCAGUUCUGGAGAAACAUUGCUGGAAAGGACUACCUGUUUCAAAGGUGCUGCUUAGAGCCCUGUACUCUAUGCUCCCUAGGAUGCAGUCUUGGCUCUUGUGCUUCUCCCCUGAGAAAGGAUUUUCCCUGAGACUACCUGUUGGCCUGCUCUCAGAGAGCUUCCCUGGUCCAGCCCUUCCCUCUCUCAGGUCUGACUCUCCUGCCCUCUCUGGCUCACUCUCCUCUGAAGCAGGCGGCCCACAGGCCACUGGGCCCCAGCUUACACCCAGGACCUGAGCAAACUGUACCCUCCAGAAGGCCAAGGACUCCUAACUUGCUAUUUCGGCACCCAACAGUAUGUUUUAACAGGCUGGGUAACAGAAACCAGUACCAACUUGCUAGGUGGCCAAGGAGGCCCUGCACUGUGUUCCACUCCCACAGGUUCUGGGUUGGGAGCCUGCCGACCUGGCGCCUUCUCGUCAUUCGACCCACAGCUCUCCCUCUGGACACUUUUCUAGCAGCCCGUGGGGCUCCGACAGGAACACAGUACCAGUCUUUCACCUGGAGGCCUGCUCUCCUCCACUUUCUUCGUGUGGUGGGGACUGCCUGGGCCCUGUUCCACUGCGGUUCCCGGGGAAAGGAGACUGAGCACCACCGCUCUGAAGAAGGAUACUGAGGGCUCUGCUGACAGCUCCUCUGCCCUCCCGAUCCGGCCACCUGCCUCCUCAGCAGUACCCCCGUUUACCAACUGUUUUCGUGUAUAUCGACUUAUCUAUUCUCGCAACAAAAAGGCAGAUGAAGAGCCUGAGACCCAGAAGGUUAAGAGACUUGCUAGAGCCUCAGGCCAGCAGCGUCUCAGCGAGGAGGUCUGAUUGCAGGGCAGAGCUCCACAGCUCUCCACCACACACACUGGAUGGUGCAGCUGAAGGAACCAGGUCCGCUGGUCAUCCCAGCGCAGAGGGCUGGCUGGCUGGGAACACUGGUCAUGACUUUGAGAUAAAGUACUGUUCAUCAAUCACUCUGGCAGUUAAUUUUAUGUGCCAGUUUGACUAAGUUAAAGGAUGCCCAGAGACAUAAUAAAACAUCAUUUCUGAGUGGGUCCAUGAGAGUUUCUGGAAGUGUUCAGCAUCUGAGUCAGUAGACAGAGUAAAGAAUGUGGGUGGGCAUCGUUCUACCUGUUGGGAUGUAGAUAGAACAAAAAUGAAGGAAGAGUGAAUUCUCUCUUUUGUUAAGCUGGGACAUUUAUCUCCUCCCGCCCGUGGGCCCCAGAGUUUCUGAUCUUCCAAC
rnacentral:lncRNA from 1 species